rnacentral:tRNA from 1 species
AGGGAGUUAGUCCAAACAAGACCUUUGAUUUCGGCUCAAAAAAUUACAGUUAAAACCUGUAACCCCCUU